rnacentral:lncRNA from 1 species
UUUUGAAGAGUACCGGGCAGAUAUUGUGGAGGACAUCCCUUAGUAUGGUUAUAGAUGAUGUUUUCCUCAGAUUAGACUGGAGCGAUCUGUUCUUGGGAUGAAGACCACAGAGGCAACAGAAACAAUCUUUGUCCAACCAGCAAAAGAGGGAUUUGGAGAAAGAAAAUGAAGCAGCUUAUGGAACAGAAGAAUGCAGAUGUGACGGUUGAUAGACCAGCUGCUAUAUUGGACUAUGAAGACAAGGGUCACCCCUCUGGAUCGGACAGUGUGGAGUUAGAAGAAGCUCAGCUCCCUGAGGAUUUUGUGGAGUACAUCCAUACCAGCCCAUACAGGCUGACUGCAGACAUUAAUUUUAUGUCAUGCCCCUGGAAGCUGAGCCCAGUUCAAAUGGCUGCUAUCUUUCUAUCUACUGUGUAGAGAAUACUGGAGGGACAAGAGUGAAAAUAGGGAUAAUCUCUAUUUCAUACAUAGGAACCCUGAAGCCUGAAGAAGUUAAAUGAAGUACAUUAGGAUUGUGGGUAAAAGUACUGGCUUUAAAGUUAGUAAACUUGUCUGUAUUUAAAUCCUGCCUCCAAUACUUCCUAACCUUGUAACCUUGAGCAAUUCCUUAGCCUGGGUAAGCCUGAUUUCCUCAUCUGUAGAAUGGGAUGAUAACAGUGCCUAUCUUAGACUAUGAUUGUGUGUAUUAAAUAAAAUAAACCAUGAAAAGA